GCCGAGCCUAGCGUUGGCCAGCGAAAAGCCGGAUACCUUCACCGGCCUGGCAGCGGCAUCCGAUUGAAGG
rnacentral:sRNA from 1 species